rnacentral:pre_miRNA from 1 species
AGUGGGAUAGCUGGGUCAAAUGGUGGCUACGUUCCCAGUUUUUCAAGGAUUCUCCAUACUGCUUUCCAUAUUGGCUGCACCAAUUUGCAGUCCCACCAGCAAU